CUGCUGCCUUCCGUAGGAGUUUGGGCCGUGUCUCAGUCCCAAUGUGGCCGUCCACCCUCUCAGGCCGGCUACUGAUCGUCGCCUUGGUGGGCCGUUACCCCGCCAACAAGCUAUCAGACGCGGGUCCAUCUUACACCACCGGAGUUUUUCACACAAAUCCAUGCGGCUUCGUGCGCUUAUGCGGUAUUAGCACCUAUUUCUAAGUGUUAUCCCCCAGUGUAAGGCAGGUUACCCACGCGUUACUCACCCGUCCGCCACUAAGUA
rnacentral:rRNA from 1 species